rnacentral:rRNA from 1 species
UACGAAGGGGGCUAGCGUUGUUCGGAAUUACUGGGCGUAAAGCGCGCGCAGGCGGUUCUCCAAGUCCGUGGUGAAAGCCCGGAGCUCAACUCCGGAAUUGCCAUUGAAACUGUUGAACUUGAGGACGAGAGAGGUGAGUGGAAUUCCCAGUGUAGAGGUGAAAUUCGUAGAUAUUGGGAAGAACACCGGUGGCGAAGGCGGCUCACUGGCUCGUUUCUGACGCUCAGGCGCGACAGCGUGGGGAUCAAACAGG